CUGAUCUGACAGGCUAAGCCUCGUGCUUCGUUUCCCUAGGACUAAGGGGCCAGACCGUCCUGAUCUAGGAGAGGACGCUCAUCACCGCAAUCUUCACCUUACCUUUGGAUACAUUUUGUACCUGAGAUACUAGUGAGUGAAGCAGGGUGUGACAAACUCUCUGAAAGCUCUAGGAGAGAGCACACGGAACUCCCACACAAGCCAGCAGGAAACUGCAGAGCCUAGGAGAAAAUCUGGAAUUGUGGUGUCCUGCAAAAACUUCAUAUCUUGUUUCCUCCCUUAACUCUUUGGAACAGUUCUUCAGAGCUGUCUAACAGGCUCUCCCAUGGGGUUUGGUCCUCGUGCUCUGGAACCAAAUCUGCAAUAUCUCUGAGGUAUGUCUGUACAUUCUCCCCUUGUUAGAGAUGUCUUAGCUAUGUUAUUCAGAAGUUAGCUUUGCUAACUUUUCUAUUUCACAAGUGGCCCUUAUCAAGACAGGCCUUAAAUGAAGUAAUAUUGUAACAGCUGAAAAGAAAAAACAAAACCAACCAACCAACCAAAUCCUCAAAACUGGGGAAUGUUUACAGAAG
rnacentral:lncRNA from 1 species